rnacentral:rRNA from 1 species
AUUGAACGCUGGCGGCAUGCUUUACACAUGCAAGUCGAACGGCAGCGCGGGCUUCGGCCUGGAGGCGAGUGGCGAACGGGUGAGUAAUGCAUCGGAACGUGCCCCGUCGCGGGGGAUAGCGCGGCGAAAGCUGGAUUAAUACCCCAUACGACCCGAGGGUGAAAGCGGGGGUUGGAAAGGCCUCGCGCUAUUGGAUCGGCCGAUGUCGGAUUAGCUAGUUGGUGGGGUAAAGGCUUACCAAGGCGACGAUCCGUAGCUGGGCUGAGAGGAUGACCAGCCACACUGGGACUGAGACACGGCCCAGACUCCGACGGGAGGCAGCAGUGGGGAAUGGUGGACGAUGGGGGCAACCCUGAUCCAGCCAUGCCGCGUGCGGGAAGAAGGCCUUCGGGUUGUAAAACGCUUUUGUUCGGGAAGAAAUCCUCUGGGCUAAUACCCCGGGGGGAUGACGGUACCGGAAGAAUAAGCACCGGCUAACUACGUG